rfam:Trichobilharzia regenti genome assembly, scaffold: TRE_scaffold0092270
GUACAACUGAAGAGUCCCAAACUAGGACGAAACAGAUGCCCAGUAC